rnacentral:rRNA from 1 species
UCCGUAGGGUGCGAGCGUUAAUCGGAAUUACUGGGCGUAAAGCGUGCGCAGGCGGUUUUGUAAGCCAGGUGUGAAAUCCCCGGGCUCAACCUGGGAAUGGCAUUUGGGACUGCAAGGCUGGAGUGCGGCAGAGGAGACUGGAAUUCCUGGUGUAGCAGUGAAAUGCGUAGAUAUCAGGAGGAACACCGAUGGCGAAGGCAGGUCUCUGGGCUGACACUGACGCUCAUGCACGAAAGCGUGGGGAGCAAACAGG